CCAACUGAACGCUUCAAUCGUUUCCUUGACCGGUUUUGCUGUAUGUGAUGGUGCAUUAUCAUGAAGCAAAAUUACUUUGUGUUGCCUUUUUUGAUAUUCUGGUCGUUUUUCACGCAAAGCUUGAUUCAAAUCGAUCAUUUGUUUUAACAGCUCGUAAUAGAUCACACCCUUCUGAUCCCACCAAACACGUUCUUCGUUCCUCACGUCAAAAUUGCCACUUCUGAAUUUUUUAAACCACUCAAAGCACUGUGAUUUACCAAGAGAAUGCUCACCGUAAGCUUCGACAAGCAUUCGAUGCGAUUCUGUAGCAGUUUUCUUCAAAUGGUAACAGAAAAUCAAUGCUGUCCGCAAAUCGUAGUUUCCAGGCACAAAAUUCGACAUGUUCAACGUUAUUACAAACUAUGCUGUUGUAUGAAACUUGUAUUGUUCUGAGUCGAAAAUGUUUGUGAGAUG
rnacentral:misc_RNA from 1 species